rnacentral:rRNA from 1 species
UACGGGGGGAGCAAGCGUUGUUCGGAUUUACUGGGCGUAAAGGGCGCGUAGGCGGUCGUGACAAGUCACUUGUGAAAUCUCCGGGCUUAACCCGGAAAGGUCAAGUGAUACUGUCGGACUAGAGUACAGAAGGGGCAACUGGAAUUCUCGGUGUAGCGGUGAAAUGCGUAGAUAUCGAGAGGAACACCUGCGGCGAAGGCGGGUUGCUGGGCUGAUACUGACGCUGAGGCGCGAAAGCCAGGGGAGCGAACGGG